rnacentral:rRNA from 1 species
UCGAGAAUCUUCGGCAAUGGGGGAAACCCUGACCGAGCGACGCCGCGUGCGCGAUGAAGGCCUUCGGGUUGUAAAUCGCUGUCAGAGGGGAGGAAAUGCUAGUGGGUUCUCCCACUAGUUUGACCUAGCCUCAGAGGAAGGACGGGCUAAGUUCGUGCCAGCAGCCGCGGUAAGACGAACCGUCCAAACGUUAUUCGGAAUCACUGGGCUUAAAGGGUGCGUAGGCGGUCCGGGAAGUUGGGUGUGAAAGCCCUCGGCUCAACCGAGGAAUUGCGUCCAAAACUGCCGGGCUGGAGGGAGACAUAGGUGAGCGGAACCUAGGGUGGAGCGGUGAAAUGCGUUGAGAUCCUAGGGAACACCAGUAGCGAAAGCGGCUCACUGGGUCUCUUCUGACGCUGAUGCACGAAAGCCAGGGGAGCGAAGA